rnacentral:rRNA from 1 species
AUUGAACGCUGGCGGCAGGCCUAACACAUGCAAGUCGAGCGGAUGAAGGGAGCUUGCUCCUGGAUUCAGCGGCGGACGGGUGAGUAAUGCCUAGGAAUCUGCCUGGUAGUGGGGGAUAACGUCCGGAAACGGGCGCUAAUACCGCAUACGUCCUGAGGGAGAAAGUGGGGGAUCUUCGGACCUCACGCUAUCAGAUGAGCCUAGGUCGGAUUAGCUAGUUGGUGGGGUAAAGGCCUACCAAGGCGACGAUCCGUAACUGGUCUGAGAGGAUGAUCAGUCACACUGGAACUGAGACACGGUCCAUACUCCUGCGGGAGGCAGCAGUGGGGAAUAUUAGGCAGUAGGCGGAAACCUGAUCCAGCGGUGCCGCGUGUGUGAAGAAGGUCUUCGGAUUGUAAAGCACUUUAACUUGGGGGGAAGGGCAGUAAGUUAAUACCAAGCUGUUUUGACGUUACCGACAGAAUAAGCACCGGCUAACUUCGUG